UGGGGUUACGGGCCUGGCUCAAGGGCACCUCAGUGGAGGUAAUAAAGGAGGGAAAAGUGCUGCUCUUUCACUUUCCCCACCCAGAUUUGUUUUUUAUCCUGUCAGUUUUGGGAUUGAACCGACAACCUCCUGGUCACAAGCUUGUUUCUUUAACCUUUAGGCCAC